rnacentral:tRNA from 1 species
GGGUCAGUAGCUUAGCCUGGUGGAGCGUCCGCCUUAUAAGCGGAAGGUCCCCGGUUCGAAUCCGGGCUGGCCCA